rnacentral:rRNA from 1 species
ACGCCGCGGUGAAUACGUUCCGGGCSUUGUACACACCGCCCGUCACACCAUGGAAGUCUGCAAUGCCCAAAGUCGGUGGGAUAACCUUUAUAGGAGUCAGCCGCCUAAGGCAGGGCAGAUGACUGGGGUGAAGUCGUAACAAGGUAGCCGUAGGAGAACCUGCGGCUGGAUCACCUCCUUUCUAAGGAA